ensembl:lncRNA
UUAUUCUUAUAAAACCGAGGUUAAACAAAUGGUGAAUACGGACGCUUGAAUCCACGCAGACCUCUUGCAUUUCUGUUGCGUAGCUGGAGGGAUUUACGGGGACUUAAUUCCUUAAAACUGUCCUCUCGUCCACAUGACGCUCAAACUGCAAGUGCACAAGCUGAUGUAUCCAAAUGCAUCAAGAGAUGAGUGCGUCGCAUUGCCAUGGGGCUAGAUUAAGGCCUUUUAUAAGGCAUGUAGAAUACACGUGAAACCAGUGUGGAGAAGCGCAACGAGGAGGUGAAUUGUGUACCUUUUAAAAAAUGUUAAAAACAACGUGUUGCCAAUAUCCACUUCGAGACAUGUCUAUCGGGAUUCAUCUGUGUGGGAGGAAAGCCGGCUGUAUCAUAACAGCUUAAGUCUACACAUUUUAAGAGAUCCCGAGAAGAGGAGAACCUGACAAGCGCCCGGUGACUCGAGAUACACGGACAAAUUAACAAUGAUGCAGGAAAAAAAAAAAAAAACUUUUACACUUCCAGACAGGAUGGAAAGCUUCAGUUGUGCACCUGCUAUUGUGGAAUGCUCUGGAGAUGAUGACAGACAGCAUUAUUCUGAGACAGAGGUAUGCAUAUAUGGGGUGUCCCUGCAGGAGACAGAAGAAUUUGAGUGUUGGGUUGAACCAGCCAGCGGUGUUUGGACGGUAGGAC